rnacentral:rRNA from 1 species
CCUACGGGUGACAGCAGUGGGGAAUAUUGCACAAUGGGGGAAACCCUGAUGCAGCGACGCCGCGUGAGUGAAGAAGGAUUUCGGUAUGUAAAGCUUUAUCAGCAGGGAAGAAAAUGACGGUACCUGAAUAAGAAGCCUCGGCUAACUACGUGCCAGCCGCCGCGGUAAUACGGAGGGGGCCAGCGUUAUCCGGAUUUUCUGGGUGUAAAGGGGGCGUAGACGGCAGCACAAGUCUGGAGUGAAAUGCCGGGGCUUAACCCCGGAACUGCUGUGGAAACUGUGCAGCUAGAGUGCAGGAGAGGUAAGGGGAAUUCGUAGUGUAGCGGUGAAAUGCGUAGAGAUUAGGAGGAACACCAGUGGCGAAGGCGGCUUACUGGACUGUAACUGACGUUGAGGCUCGAAAGCGUGGGGAGCAAACAGGAUUAGAGACCCGGGUAGUC